UUUCUCUCUGUGCUGGCAGUAGUUAUCAGCCGCACCACCGAGUGAUUUUAUUUAUAUAUUUUAUUUCCCCUUUUUUUUUGGAAAACCAGUGAAAGUCACCUCAUAAUUUAGAAUAUUAAAGGAUCCGCCAGUUCUAGUCGGCCUUGGGAUCCUAAGGGAAGCUAAGUGCUUAGAAAACCCUCCUCCUACUGCUCAGACACCCUCCACACUCUGAAAUUACCCCAACCGGCUCAUAAUUGGGACCAGCUGGCAGGAUGAGAGAGGAGGCCCCUGCCCCGAGCCAGGAAUCGCGUUGCAAAUUUCAUCCCUAGAAAGAAGCUUGACUUGCUCCUUUAAGGGUUAAGAGGUAGGAGGUCAAAGGCACAGCGCUCAGGAGCUGGGAUUUAAAUUGGCUACAGGGAACCUGAAAACAAAGGGCGUUCACAUUAGCAACCGUGGCUCCCUUGCUUUGUCUAGGACCAAGUGUAUGCGAAAUAGCCCAGGCGACCCUGCCGGGCUACGGCCUCCGCCGAAUUUCACUUUACAGCCUGUCUUUCCAGAACUGGCAUCGUUAAUUUGUAUGCUGCCCGAAAGCUGUCCUUUUCCCAAAGCCCUCCUCACAAAGCAGAUGCAGACCUCCAGAAGUGCACCGGAAAUAGGGUGGGUUCGGAGAGAGGGGUGUCCGUGGCGCUCGGUCUGUUUCUUAGUCUCUAAUGUUUCUGGGACUCUGCUCUCUCCUGCUUUCUCGAUAGACUUGUCAGCUCUCAGCUUUGCACUCCCACCCCCUUUCCUGUUGAGCCAGAACUACAGCUUUGCUCUUGGAGAGCAAUUCCUGAGGUCUGUCCACCCUGUCUUGGCAUUGGGCUCUCCGGCCUGGACUGGGAAUCUGGAGGGAACAAAGCAAGCCUCUGGAAGUCAAUUUCAAGUGUCAGAAACCAAGACCCCUGACUGGUUCGGCAUCUGUCCCUGCAAGACUUAGAAAACCAACCCUGUGCUUAAGAGGGAGAAGUAGAGAUGAAAGAUGAAAGACGGAGCAGCGGAAUCAAGAGAAGGAAUUAGCAGAACAGGGUGAGGCAUCGUGGAAGCGUGGGGAGAAGGAAGGAGAGUCACGGUCGAGGGAGGAGUGGGGGGGGGAAGGCAAAGAAAAGAAUUGGCAAGUAACAAAGACCAGCCUAGAAGAGGUCUCUCACCUUGCUAACGCUAGUAAUAGGAGCCUUGAAGGAAAUUGCCAAAGUGGCCUCCCUGAGGUAUUUCUACGUUUCUAUUCUUGGCAGACAAUGUGGUUUCAAUGGUUUUCUGCGACUGUUUCAGGAACAACAGUUCCUUGAUUUGGACUUGCUCCUGGAGAGAAAUGAAGGUGUGAGCGUUUACUUCAUACAUUUAUCAAAUGUGCUGCAUGCUUGGGAGCGCACAGAUACAUGGGCACGCGUAUGCCUACUGUGAUAUGAUAAAUAUAUGCAUGAGGGAAAUGGGGCUCCGGCUCGUUGUAUAGGUGGGGAGAUUUUAUGGAACAAGCCUAUUUAAUAUGUCAAAGGGAAAACAUUACUUAUGACGCCCUAUUAGCACAUCAUUCGUCUUACUGGGAAGACAGAAUGAAGAAUAUUUAACAAUUAAUAGAAAUCAUAGGAAGAAUUAUGAUUAAGUGCCAUCUGCUGGCUUCUGUGGGUUUUAUUUUUAUGCAGCGUUGAGCCUGUCCUCAUAAUUAUCGAACGUCUCUCUUGCGCUGAG
rnacentral:lncRNA from 1 species